CCCUUAGAUGUUCUGGGCUGCACGCGCGCUACACUGAAGCGUUCAACGAGUAUUCACCUUGCCCGGGAGGGUUGGGUAAUCUUUUGAAAACGCUUCGUGAUGGGGAUAGAUUAUUGCAAUUAUUAAUCUUCAACGAGGAAUUCCUAGUAAGCGCGAGUCAUCAGCUCGUGCUGAUUACGUCCCUGCCCUUUGUACACACCGCCCGUCGCUCCUACCGAUUGAAUGAUCCGAUGAAUACCAUGGAUUGAGAGUACGAAUGGGUUCGCUCAUUUCUGCUGCUCGAGAAGUGGAGUAAAUCUUAUCAUUUAGAGGAAGGAGAAGUCGUAACA
rnacentral:rRNA from 1 species